rnacentral:rRNA from 1 species
GACGAACGCUGGCGGCGUGCUUAGCACAUGCAAGUCGAACGGAAAGGCCCUGCUUUUGUGGGGUGCUCGAGUGGCGAACGGGUGAGUAACACGUGAGUAACCUGCCCUUGACUUUGGGAUAACUUCAGGAAACUGGGGCUAAUACCGGAUAGGAGCUCCUGCUGCAUGGUGGGGGUUGGAAAGUUUCGGCGGUUGGGGCUGGACUCGCGGCUUAUGAGCUUGUUGGGGGGGUAGUGGCUUACCAAGGCUUUGACGGGUAGCCGGCCUGGGAGGGUGACCGGCGACAUUGGGACUGAGAUACGGCCCAGACUCCUACGGGAGGCAGCAGUGGGGAAUAUUGCACAAUGGGCGGAAGCCUGAUGCAGCAACGCCGCGUGCGGGAUGACGGCCUUCGGGUUGUAAACCGCUUUCGCCUGUGCCGAAGCGGGAGUGACGGUAAUGGGUAAAGAAGCACCGGCUAACUACGUG